rnacentral:rRNA from 1 species
CCUACGGGGGGCUGCAGUGGGGGAUAUUUGGCAAUGGGCGCAAGCCUGACCCAGCAACGCCGCGUGAAGGAAGAAGGCUUUCGGGUUGUAAACUUCUGUUGACAGGGACGAGCAUAACACGGUACCUGUCGAAUAACCCACGUCUAACUACGUGCCAGCAGCCGCGGUAAUACGGAGGUGGCAAGCGUUGUCCGUAUUUACUGGGUGUAAAGGUCGUGUAGCCGGGCUGACAAGUCAGAUGUGAAAUCCGGGGGCUCAACCCCCGAACUGCAUUUGAAACUGUUGGUCUUGAGUAUCGGAGAGGCAGGCGGAAUUCCUAGUGUAGCGGUGAAAUGCGUAGAUAUUAGGAGGAACACCAGUGGCGAAGGCGGCCUGCUGGACGACAACUGACGGUGAGGCGCGAAAGCGUGGGGAGCAAACAGGAUUAGAUACCCCGGUAGUC